rnacentral:misc_RNA from 1 species
CAAAGCCGUCCAGCUGCUAGUUCUUCAUCCUACAGGAAAUCUGUGGUAGAUAAUAACAAGGAUGUUCUAAAUAGGAAUUUCUCUGAACUUAGUUUUUCGGAGGGUUCUCGGGGAAAAUCAUAUGAGAGGUAUAUGCAGAAAAGGGAUAGAAAACUCAGGGAAGAAUGGAAUUCUAUGGGGGAAGAGAAGGAAGCCAAACAGAGGGCUAUGGAGGAUUGCCUUGAGAGGAGUAGAGCUGAGAUGAAGGCUAAGUUUGCUGGAUCUGCUGAUAAAGACGGUAUGGUUUCUAGCUCCCAUCGGCGUGCUGAGAGACUCAGAUCAUAUAAUUCGAGGUCUAUUCUAAGGAGAGACCAGCAACAAUUGGUUUUUGAGCAAAGUGAUAACGAUGAAGAUAUGCCUGAAUUAUCGAAGCAGAAAAAAUAUGGUGAAGACAGGUCUUUUGACGAAACAUCCUUUGGGGAUGAUGUUCGUAAAAGCACUCGGGGUAAGAAGCCUUUACCUGUCAAAG